AUGUUUGUGAUAGUUUUUUUUGUCUUGUUUUCUGAACUAAAUGUUUUUGGUUUUUUAUUGUUUUCCGGAUUUAGGUUAUUGCACAUUAUGCAUGCAAUAUGGAAAUUUUGGUUGUUUUGUUUUAGUGCAAACUGUUUGUUGCACCUGAAUAAUCUAGCUUUUGUUAUUUUUUCUAUAAUCUUUAAUCCUUUCUCUCGGCAGGUAAGCUACACAUCAGGUGGCUACUGGUAUGAGGGGGCCUCCUUAAGUUUUGUCUUAUUGUUGUGUUUGGUCUUUUAUCAUAUCGUCAUAUUGUUUGCUUAA